GACGAACGCUGGCGGCGUGCCUAAUACAUGCAAGUUGAGCGCUGAAGGUUGGUACUUGUACCAACUGGAUGAGCAGCGAACGGGUGAGUAACGCGUGGGGAAUCUGCCUUUGAGCGGGGGACAACAUUUGGAAACGAAUGCUAAUACCGCAUAAAAACUUUAAACACAAGUUUUAGGUUUGAAAGAUGCAAUUGCAUCACUCAAAGAUGAUCCCGCGUUGUAUUAGCUAGUUGGUGAGGUAAAGGCUCACCAAGGCGAUGAUACACAGCCGACCUGAGAGGGUGAUCGGCCACAUUGGGACUGAGACACGGCCCAAACUCCUACGGGAGGCAGCAGUAGGGAAUCUUCGGCAAUGGACGAAAGUCUGACCGAGCAACGCCGCGUGAGUGAAGAAGGUUUUCGGAUCGUAAAACUCUGUUGGUAGAGAAGAACGUUGGUGAGAGUGGAAAGCUCAUCAAGUGACGGUAACUACCCAGAAAGGGACGGCUAACUACGU
rnacentral:rRNA from 1 species